rnacentral:rRNA from 1 species
GAACGCUAGCGACAGGCCUAACACAUGCAAGUCGAGGGGCAUCGGGGCGAGGAGCAAUCCUUGCCGCCGGCGACCGGCGCACGGGUGAGUAACGCGUAUGCGACCUGCCCGUUGCAGGGGGAUAAUCGGGAGAAAUCCCGUCUAAUACCGCGUAAUGCCGCGGGGCUGCAUGGCCCUGCGGCCAAAGGAAGCGAUUCCGGCAACGGAUGGGCAUGCGUGACAUUAGCUAGUUGGCGGGGCAACGGCCCACCAAGGCGACGAUGUCUAGGGGUUCUGAGAGGAAGGUCCCCCACACUGGUACUGAAACACGGACCAGACUCCUACGGGAGGCAGCAGUGAGGAAUAUUGGUCAAUGGGCGCGAGCCUGAACCAGCCAAGUCGCGUGAGGGAUGACGGCCCUACGGGUUGUAAACCUCUUUUGUCGGGGAGCAAAUUCCGCCACGUGUGGCGGAGUCGAGAGUACCCGAAGAAAAAGCAUCGGCUAACUCCGUGCCAGCAGCCGCGGUAAUACGGAGGAUGCGAGCGUUAUCCGGAUUUAUUGGGUUUAAAGGGUGCGUAGGCGGACUGUCAUGUCAGCGGUAAAAUACGGGGGCUCAACCUCCGCCCGCCGUUGAAACUGACGGUCUUGAGUGGGCGAGAAGUAUGCGGAAUGCGUGGUGUAGCGGUGAAAUGCAUAGAUGUCACGCAGAACUCCGAUUGCGAAGGCAGCAUACCGGCGCCCAACUGACGCUGAAGCACGAAAGCGUGGGUAUCGAACAGGAUUAGAUACCCUGGUAGUCCACGCAGUAAACGAUGAAUACUAGCUGUCCGGGGCGAAUGAGCCCUGGGUGGCACAGCGAAAGCGUUAAGUAUUCCACCUGGGGAGUACGCCGGCAACGGUGAAACUCAAAGGAAUUGACGGGGGCCCGCACAAGCGGAGGAACAUGUGGUUUAAUUCGAUGAUACGCGAGGAACCUUACCCGGGCUCAAACGACACAGGAACGUACCUGAGAGGGUUCGGCUCUACGGAGCCUGUGUCGAGGUGCUGCAUGGUUGUCGUCAGCUCGUGCCGUGAGGUGUCGGCUUAAGUGCCAUAACGAGCGCAACCCCCAUCGACAGUCGCUAACAGGUCAGGCUGAGGACUCUGUCGAGACUGCCGGCGCAAGCUGCGAGGAAGGCGGGGAUGACGUCAAAUCAGCACGGCCCUUACGUCCGGGGCGACACACGUGUUACAAUGGCAGGUACAGCGGGAAGCCACCUGGCGACAGGGAGCGGAACCCGAAAGCCUGUCUCAGUUCGGAUUGGAGUCUGCAACCCGACUCCAUGAAGCUGGAUUCGCUAGUAAUCGCGCAUCAGCCACGGCGCGGUGAAUACGUUCCCGGGCCUUGUACACACCGCCCGUCAAGCCAUGGAAGCCGGGGGUGCCUGAAGU